AUACUAAAAACAUAUGAAACUAUCAUGUAUUGGUGAACAUUUUUCAAUAGUAAGAUAAACAUCUAUCCUAUACUAAAAGGAAGAUAUCAUGAGUCCUAAAGCUAUCCACGUAGGAUUAAAUAAUCCACCAAUCAGCACAUUUCAUUUAUUUACAUCAGACAUGUUGGGCUUUCGGUUUGGGCUUCGUUUGUUUUUUGCCAAAUUACACACCAAAAUGAGUGGGCCUGAGCUUGGGGUUCAUUUGCUGUUUGCCCUAAACUUAACAACGCAUGGUUCUUCUUCUGAGAAGACGAGAUAUGGUUGAGACUAGACGUAAGUUACGUCACGUAACUCUUCAGCUUCCAAGAGUUUCCCUGCUUCUUCUUCAUCCCCUGAAUUGUCUUCUCAUCUCCACUCCCUACCAAGCGAUCUAAGGUCAAGAUCCAUGCUGCUAUUAAAUCUGUAUGUUAGAUCCGAGUUUCGUUGCGGUCCGAGCCAUGUCAGAGUCUCAGACAGCUCUAAAGAAUCAGCCACAGUCAUGGGUCUCCUCUGGUUUGUUUUUUUGUGUUAACCUGCAAGUUCAUAUUCAGAGACUGAUUUCAAUUAUAUUCUGUUUGCAAUAAGGUUUUUAAUAUAACAUGGGCGUGUGUACAUCAGGAAAGAAGCAAGCUUUGAUAUCUUUAUCUGAUAAGAAGGAUUUAGCUACUUUUGGCAAAGGUCUUCAAGAGUUAGGGUAUGUCUUAUUUCAUAAUUUUUAGUUAUGUUUCUGUCCUAAUAAGUGUGUAUGGAUUGAAAAAUGAUUCCUUUUGUCCAUCUUUAGAUACACUAUGGAGGAACUGCCUCUACCUUGGAGAAUGUUGUAGUCUCUGUCACCAAAGUGGAGACGCUUACUCAUUUUUCUGAAAUUGAAAGUUUCAUUCUUUAGCUGGUGGUAAUGAUUAAGCAGUUGAGUUUGGUAUAUUAAGCUUACCUCUCAUUUUGUUUUUGUUUUUUCUUCUCGAAAAAGCAGCUUGAUGGCCGUGUGAAGACUUUGCACCCAAACAUACACGGUGGUAUCCUUGCUAGAAGAGAUGUGGAGCAUCAUAUGGAAGCUCUUAAUGAGCAUGGCAUUGGUGAGUUUGGACAUUUGAUUAGCCUUUUAUUUUCUAAGGUUGAGACAAGUUAUCUGUAGUAUUCAGGUGGGAUCAGUUUUUAGGAUGGGAUUGAGAACAUCGACAUUGGUGGUCCUACUAUGAUUAGAGCAGCUGCUAAGAACCACAAAGAUGUCCUCAUCGUUGUCGAUUCAGAGGAUUAUUAAGCUGUUUUGGAGUAUCUCAAAAGAGGUCAGAACGACCAACAAUUCCGCAGGAAACUUGCGUGGAAGGCCUUUCAGCACAUUGCUGCUUACGAUUCCGCUGUCUCAGAAUGGCUAUGGAAGCAGACUGAGGGAAGUACGUGCUUAUUUUUUAUGUGAUCCUCCUUACACUAGAUCGAGAUGCAGUGGCGGAUCUAGAAAAUAUUAUGAGAGGGGGCGAAUAAAUUAAUUAAUUAAUAUAUUUAUAUUUAAUAGUAUUGUAUAAAUAUUUUUAUUUAUAUAUUAUAUAUAUCUAUAUUUAAAAAAAUUUGCAAUGGCUAGAAUAAUUGUUUUGAAAAGGACUAUAAGAUGAAUUCACAAACAAAAAAAAAUGAAAUAAAAAAUAGUAGAAUAAAUUGUUAAGGAAACAGAAUAACUAAAGGAAAUAUAACGUAACUAUGUGAGGAACAAAAUGGUAUGACAGGUAAACAAGAAAGAAAUAAAAUCAGAAAAGGAAAGUGAUCAUCCUACUAUAUAAAAGGAGCUAAUUUGAAAGUUCCUAAGCUAUGCCACAUAAGCAUAAAUAUUCUCAUCCAACCAAACUUACAAGUCAGCUACUCUUUUACUUUUUAGUGUAUUAUAAUUCUCAACCAAAUAUUAAGAGCAAAGCCACUUCCUGCCAUUCUGAAUUUCCGUCAUAACGUUCCUCCACCAUUAAACCCCUAAAUUGCUAUAAAUUUCCUAUGGAAACCUACCUUUUCAAAUAUUCUCCCUCUCUUUGUCUCCUCCACAUUAAGCUAAUUAAUGGGAAACAUCUCAACAACGUCAGAAUAUUAAGAACAUGGACGGAUCAACUCUUCAGCGAGAUUUGAUUCACCUAUAACUUAGAGAUCAGACACUUACGGUUACAUGGUACAAUCCAUUACGCGUUCUCUUAUGCUAUUAGUUGAUUGAUCUAUAUUUGUUAAUGGUAUGGUUUUAUUUUGGUACAGUUGCGUGUGGUUUUGAUUGCAUGAUUGUUUGAUUAGAAAAUGAUUGUAUAAGAGCGACAAUAGUGUGACAUCUGCAAGACACAUUGUUAAAGGCAGCAGUAACAAUCAGGUUCCCUCUGGUAUUACAAACUUUCCCAGCUGUCUACCUUUCUUAAUAUUUUAAUACUUCUAAAAUAAUAUUUUCUUUUGUCCAAAUAAAGAAAGUAAUAUUUUCUCUA